GUACUCAACUCUCAGGAUGUCAUCAAUAUACUGGGUGACUAGAACUUUCCUGCUCCUGGACUGGUUGAAGGUGGCAUACUGCAGAGGUGUGAGCCUUCCUUCAGGAGUGUACCACAGGCAGUAACAGGGAGACUGGAAAAUCUUGUCAUGGAAGCAACGAUAUGCCAAAGCCACAGGAAAGUCUGCAUCCUCCUCCAGUCUCUUUGCAUCUUAACAUUGUCACUUGGUCCCAUCCCUGAGAGCACCAUUCAGCCUGAGACGUGUGUAUCUACAGAGGUCCUUAUCAAAGGAGUAUCAAUCAGACUGUGGUGUGAGGUUUCUCUGGCCUUUUGCCCAUAGCUGUCAAAUCUCCUCCUCAGAAAAUAAUUUGAUUUUAAGUCUCAUUCCCA